rnacentral:rRNA from 1 species
GACGAACGCUGGCGGCGUGCUUAACUCAUGCAAGUCGAACGGAAAGGCCCUGCUUUUGUGGGGUGCUCGAGUGGCGAACGGGUGAGUAACACGUGAGUAACCUGCCCUUGACUUUGGGAUAACUUCAGGAAACUGGGGCUAAUACCGGAUAGGAGCUCCUGCUGCAUGGUGGGGGUUGGAAAGUUUCGGCGGUUGGGGAUGGACUCGCGGCUUAUCAGCUUGUUGGUGGGGUAGUGGCUUACCAAGGCGUUGACGGGUAGCCGGACUGGGAGGGUGUCCGGCCACAUUGGCACUGAGAUACGGCCCAGACUCCUACUGGAGGCAACGGUGGGAAAUAUUGCACAAUGGGCGGAAGCCUGAUGCAGCAACGCCGCGUGCGGGAUGACGGGAUUCGGGUUGUAAAGCGCUUUCGCCUGUGGCGAAGCGUGUGUGACGGUAAUGGGUAAAGAAGCACCGGCUAACUACGUG